rnacentral:rRNA from 1 species
UACGGAGGAUGCGAGCGUUAUCCGGAUUUAUUGGGUUUAAAGGGUGCGCAGGCGGGCUGUUAAGCCGGCGGUAAAAAUUCAGGGCUCAACCCUGUCGAGCCGUCGGAACUGGCAGUCUUGAGUGGGCGAGAAGUAUGCGGAAUGCGUGGUGUAGCGGUGAAAUGCGUAGAUAUUAGGAGGAACACCAGUGGCGGAGGCGGCUUACUGGACGGUAACUGACGCUGAGGCUCGAAAGCGUGGGGAGCAAACAGG